rnacentral:rRNA from 1 species
GACGAACGCUGGCGGCGUGCUUAACACAUGCAAGUCGAACGAUGAUCAGGAGCUUGCUCCUGUGAUUAGUGGCGAACGGGUGAGUAACACGUGAGUAACCUGCCCCUGACUCUGGGAUAAGCGUUGGAAACGACGUCUAAUACUGGAUAUGAUCACUGGCCGCAUGGUCUGGUGGUGGAAAGAUUUUUUGGUUGGGGAUGGACUCGCGGCCUAUCAGCUUGUUGGUGAGGUAAUGGCUCACCAAGGCGACGACGGGUAGCCGGCCUGAGAGGGUGACCGGGCCCCAUGGGACUGGGGCACGGCCCAGACUCCUACGGGAGGCAGCAGUGGGGAAUAUUGCACAAUGGGCGAAAGCCUGAUGCAGCAACGCCGCGUGAGGGAUGACGGCCUUCGGGUUGUAAACCUCUUUUAGUAGGGAAGAAGCGAAAGUGACGGUACCUGCAGAAAAAGCACCGGCUAACUACGUG